CAGCACCUCAAGUGGUCAGGAUGAUUAUUGGGCCUAAAGCAUCCGUAGCCGGCGCUGUAAGUUUUCGGUUAAAUCUGUACGCUCAACGUACAGGCUGCCGGGAAUACUGCAGCGCUAGGGAGUGGGAGAGGUAGACGGUACUCGGUAGGAAGGGGUGAAAUCCUUUGAUCUAUUGAUGACCACCUGUGGCGAAGGCGGUCUACCAGAACACGUCCGACGGUGAGGGAUGAAAGCUGGGGGAGCAAACCGGAUUAGAUACCCGUGUAGUCC
rnacentral:rRNA from 1 species